GGAAGUCUGGUGCCAGCAGCCGCGGUAAUUCCAGCUCCAAUAGCGUAUAUUAAAGUUGUUGCAGUUAAAAAGCUCGUAGUUGAACCUCGGGAUCAAUGGAUCGGUCAUGCCAUCGGUAUGUACUGGUCUCAUUGGUUCUCACCUUCUAAGGAACCAUGAUGUCAUUAAUUUGAUGUUGUGGGGAAUUAGGACUGUUACCUUGAAAAAAUUAGAGUGUUUAAAGCAGGCUAACGCUUGAAUACAUUAGCAUGGAAUAAUGAAAUAGGACAUCGCAUUCUAUUUUGUUGGUUUCUAGGAUCGAUGUAAUGAUUAAUAGGGAUAGUUGGGGGCAUUAGUAUUCAAUUGUCAGAGGUGAAAUUCUUGGAUUUAUUGAAGACUAACUACUGCGAAAGCAUUUGCCAAGGAUGUUUUCAUUAAUCAAGAACGAAAGUUAGGGGAUCGAAGACGAUCAGAUACCGUCGUAGUCUUAACCAUAAACUAUGCCGACUAGGGAUCGGAUGAUGUUGAUUUCUUAAUGACUCAUUCGGCGCCUUACGGGAAAC
rnacentral:rRNA from 1 species